AACGAACGCUGGCGGCAUGCCUAACACAUGCAAGUCGACCGAGACCUUCGGGUAUAGUGGCGCACGGGUGCGUAACGCGUGGGAACCUGCCCUUAGGUUUGGAAUAACUCCCCGAAAGGGGUGGCAAUCCCGGAUAAUGUCUUCGGACCAAGGGGUUAUCGCCUUUGGAUGGGCCCGGGUUGGAUUAGGUAGUUCGUAGGGUAAAAGCCCACCAAGGCGAUGAGCCAUAGCUGGUCUGAGUGGAGGAUCAGCCACACUGGGACUGAGACACGGCACAGACUCGUACAGGAGGCAGAAAAGAGGAAAAUUGGACAAUGAGCUAAAGCCGGAUCCAUCAAUGACGCGUGAGUGAUGAAGGCCUUAGGGUUGUAAAGCUCUUGUACCCGGGAUGAUAAUGACAGUACCGGGAGAAUAAGCUCCGGCUAACUCCGUG
rnacentral:rRNA from 1 species